rnacentral:lncRNA from 1 species
UGUCCCUAGUCCCUGGACUAUGGCCUGCGUCUUAUAGGGACAGCCAGACUCCUUGGCCUGGGGCUAGAAGCCCCCUGGGAGUCACGGGUCCUUAUGCCCUCUUUCCUGGGGGCCAUCUCUGGUGGGCUGGGAGGAAGGACAGGCUCCACGCAGGAGAUGACGAACUCUUCCCCAGCAAAAAGGUUUCACAGAUCAAAGAGACACUUGUGCUUGUCCCCAGACCCAGGAGCAUGGGCAGGGAGGUGACAUCAGGUGUUUGGCCUUUCUGACAUCCCUGGUCAGAUUUAUUGCCGCUGUUUGCUAACACGUAGUUCUACCCUUGGUUUAAGGAUCAGGUGGGCUUAAUAGGAGAACCGGCUGUGUCCCCGCCCCAUUUCCUCAGCUGGCCGGACUGAUUUAACUGAUUGGUUAAUAACUGAGUGCAAGGUGGCUGGGAUAAUUUUUAUCUUAGAUUCUGUGAAUCUAUAACCUGUCCUAAAGCUGGACUAGAAAAAAAGUAUUUGUUCCGCUAACCUUUAAUCCCCUUUCUCUUGAGUAGUCGCACACAGAAUAUUUUUCAAGGGGUGGGUGAUGUACUUUGUCUUUUUGACUUUCCAAUAACUUUUUCUUGGAUCCCUAGAAUAAAAACAGCAUCACCACAAAUGUUUAGUAGAGAGGUGUCGGGGACCAGAGGAAGUGUGGGACACACCGUCAGACCCCUGGUUCACAUCCUGGGUGUGCCUCUAUCUUAUGGGUGAUCUCGGGCGAGUCUCCUGAUUCUCCUGGGCCUCAGUUACCAUUUAUAAAGUAGACCCUGAAGACCCUGUGAUUUUGAGACUUCCUUCAGACCUGUGUGUGCCGGGAGCCCUGCUGGUGCCGUUCAUCCCUAGGUGUAUUCAUCCAUUCACUCAAGGGCUCUGUGUGUGCAGGCAGUGUUCCCAGAGCUGGACCAUAACAGAGCGCCCACCAGGCUCGGUGGCCCGCGCCUAUAAUCCCUGAGGCUGAGGAAGGUAGAUUGCAAGUUCGAGGCCAGCCUUAGUAACUUAGCAAGACUCUGUCUGAAAAUAAAAAGUAAAAAGGGCUGGGGGUGUAGCUACGUGGUAGAGCGUGCCUCCCGGGGUCAGGACCUUCACAAACAAACAACACAACACAACAGGGGCCUCAUCUUGUGGUGCUUGGAGUCUUGGGGGAGACAGACUGGGAAUGGGUAGUUGCACGGCAGUUG